GACGAACGCUGGCGGCGUGCUUAACACAUGCAAGCCGAACGGAAAGGCCCUGCUUUUGUGGGGUGCUCGAGUGGCGAACGGGUGAGUAACACGUGAGUAACCUGCCCUUGACUUUGGGAUAACUUCAGGAAACUGGGGCUAAUACCGGAUAGGAGCUCCUGCUGCAUGGUGGGGGUUGGAAAGUUUCGGCGGUUGGGGAUGGACUCGCGGCUUAUCAGCUUGUUGGUGGGGUAGUGGCUUACCAAGGCUUUGACGGGUAGCCGGCCUGAGAGGGUGACCGGCCACAUUGGGACUGAGAUACGGCCCAGACUCCUACGGGAGGCAGCAGUGGGGAAUAUUGCACAAUGGGCGGAAGCCUGAUGCAGCAACGCCGCGUGCGGGAUGACGGCCUUCGGGUUGUAAACCGCUUUCGCCUGUGACGAAGCGUGAGUGACAGUAAUGGGUAAAGAAGCACCGGCUAACUACGUG
rnacentral:rRNA from 1 species